UAUUUCUUGGUUGUUGAUAAUAUUUGAGUGUACUCUACCUGCUGCAAGAACAUGAAAAUAUCCCAGAUACAUGAAUCAUAGCAUAACCUCAAACCCUUAUGAGCAAAGGCGAAAAUUGAAGAGAAGAUUAUCAAGAAUCCCUGAGCUGUGGAGUGUUCAUCGGAUUCCGAUUUGAUUUCACUCGAACGGGCUUUGCAAAGAAGAUAGAUUCCUGGCUGUUGUUCUUUCUUCCUUUCCUCUUUAUCAUCUGAGACUUCACCCUCUCUGCUCCUCCAGUCACCACCAUCUGACAUUGUUCCCGAGAUCCUGGCAAUGCGCGCCUUUCCUGCCACCAUCAGCAUCAUCGCUUCUGCGUCUGCCAGCUCCGAGCUGAAGACAGUCACACUGCACAGGUCCUACACCUCCUCCAACGCCGGUCAUCGACAGGUUCCUGGCUCCGGGUCAACCGAUGGGUCG